CUGUUGUUAUUUAUAGCUCAGUCGGUAGAGUAUGAGAAGCUUAAUCUCAGGGUCAUGGGUUCGAGUUUCCUGCAUUGCAGG